UGUCUUGUUGGUGCGGCCGCCGAUGGAGACGGCGGCCAGCGUGCGGUGCUCUGGGAAGACGACCUUCUACCGCCACCAUGUGGUCACAGACCAGCGCAGCCCCAUGCGCGACCACCGCCGUGUGUGCCUGCUGCCGUGACCAUUGCACCCACAUGGGACGCCGCGACCCCCGGCCACCGCGCCGCUAUGCCGCGGCCACGAAAUCGCUGCCGGCCCACGAGAACAUGACAGACUGAAUGAUAUGACAUCAAUUUGUAAUUAUUUUGAGCCCCAUAAUUCAACAGUUCAUGAGCAAAGCACAAUUUCAUGAAUAAAUUGGAACAAAUCCAUGGCAGUGGAUGGAUUAUAAAUCGAAAAGGAGGUGGAUGGGAUCCAUCUAUCAAACUCACACAAUACUAUUUGCUUGCAGGCCUAUUUUCCAAACCAAAUCACGCAACAAGAGGAGUUCGCACUGGCGGAUGGAUUCAUUUUUAUGAAUAGACGAAAACACAGAAAUUCGAGACUCACUCGUGUAGUCAAGCGUAUGAGAUUUUUGUUCAAUCAGGAGGUGUGACCACGCUGCUCUGCUCCGCUCACCUCAGGCGUGGCCAAAUCCAACUCGCUACCUCCGCUCGUUGUGGUUGACAAGCAGCUGGCCGCCAUGGAUCCCCCGGACAUCGCGACGGCAGCAGCGCAGGAGCACGAAGCACACGGGAGCGGCGCCGCCGGCGAGGCCGAUUUCGACGGUUAGGACAGAGGCGGGGCACAACGGGGUGGGGAAUGGCGCGACGCACGGAGAGCAAGGGUGUGCGGGAUGGCCGGUGGAGGUAGACGACGAGGGUCGCGGCCAACGGCAGGAUCUGUCUGACGGAUCGGGGAGUCCUGCUUUAAUGCGUCGAUUGCAAUUGAGAUUUUGGUGGCAGGGUAUACCUGUGCUCCUCCUUGAUCCAGGCCUUCCAGGGUACGCCGUCGGGCGUUUCCCGGAGUUCGGCGGCGGCGGGAUUCAAACCGCCCUGCCUUGCAGAGGCGGCGGCGUCGUCGUCUCCCCCUCGGACGGCGGCGGCGUGGGUAGAUGGGAUCGAUGGGAGGGGGCAACGAAGGAUGGGG
rnacentral:lncRNA from 1 species